rnacentral:siRNA from 1 species
UUAAGAUUUUACGCUACAAAAUAG